UUCGCUUGACCAAGGUACUAGCAUAACUAACACAUUCCUAGUAUUGGUAAUUGGUAAUUUAGCACAAAGCAGGAACCAUUUAUGAUAACCACCAAGCCUCUGAUAAUAUAUCAAAUUAGUAAAUUACACUGUAACACAAGCAAGGGUUAAUUGAUCCAACAAUCCUCACCUGAAAAGUAUUAAGGAAAAAAAGAGCACAUGGGACAUAGCACAAAGCAGGAAAUAUAUCAAAUUAGUAAAUUACACUGUAACACAAGCAAGGGUUAAUUGAUCCAACAAUCCUCACCUGAAACUUUUAUAAAUUGGAAUAGAAGUAUUUAAGGAAAGAAAAAGAGCACAUGGGACAUGAAUAAGGAAUCUUCCUAAAACA
rnacentral:lncRNA from 1 species